GACGAACGCUGGCGGCGUGCCUAACACAUGCAAGUCGAACGAGAAUCGACGGAUUGAGACUUCGGUUGAUUGAAGUUGAGGAAAGUGGCGAACGGGUGAGUAACGCGUGAGAAACCUGCCUUUCAGUGGGGGACAACAGUUGGAAACGACUGCUAAUACCGCAUAAUGUAUCGAGGGGGCAUCCUCUUGAUACCAAAGCUUUAUGUGCUGAAAGAUGGUCUCGCGUCUGAUUAGCUUGUUGGCGGGGUAACGGCCCACCAAGGCGACGAUCAGUAGCCGGUCUGAGAGGAUGAACGGCCACAUUGGGACUGAGAUACGGCCCAGACUCCUACGGGAGGCAGCAGUGGGGAAUAUUGGGCAAUGGGGGAAACCCUGACCCAGCAACGCCGCGUGAAGGAAGAAGGCCUCGGGUUGUAAACGUCCUGUCCUAAGUGAAGAGAAGAAGACGGUAGCUUAGGAGGAAGCCCGGCUAACUACGUG
rnacentral:rRNA from 1 species